CACCACGCCGUUUCGACGCCGAGCCGUUCUCGGGCACGUUUUUCUUCACGCCGCCGUGACCCCGUGGCUCACGUUCUCUCUCGCUCCCACUGCGGCACUCACAGGUGGCGCCUUCCUUUCGGUUAUCCCUGCGGCCCAUACACCGCCGCAACACCCUCUCACUCGCCGUCUCGCCUGAUCUUCUCAGGGAGCGGCGUUGUUUUCUCUGUCGCGGGACCACGGACGGGCGCAAGGCCGCUGGGCUCCCCUUCUUGUUAUAGCGUGCUUCUCUUUCCCGCUUCUGGCCUACCUAAGCGAUGGAGGGCAUCAUCCAGUACAGGCUGCUGGGCAACCACCCAGCCGCCUCGGGACGCUAUCUCACCGUCGGCUUCCCUGGCGAGACCACCACGACGGACAAGAUACUGGACCAGAUCAUUCAAGAGCACCGCAUCAACACCAGUCGCUACAAGCUGGAGGUGUGCCGACUGGUACCAAGUCGUGAUGCCCCGGCAUCCGCGCCGGUUCCGGCGCUACCUCCUCCAGAGAGCAGUGGUAGCGCCUUCUCAUGGUCAGGCGCGGCGGCGGGGGCACCGAAUGCGCUCGUGCCUGUCGUCAUCCGCGGCCCCGACGCGCUUUGCACGUAUGAUCGACUGACCAUUACGGUUUCCAAGCGUGACCUUGCCGACGACGAGGCGUCACGGAAGGAGAGGGAGCAGCUUGAGCGCCAGAGACAGCUGAAGGAAAUGGAGGAGCAGCUGCUCUCGGGAACUUCAGGGUUCGGGCACUUCAUCGAUGGCGGCGCCGGCGCCCACACCGCAGUCUCGCCGCCUCCCCGGCCCUCCCGCUUCUCCCGCUCGGCCGCUGGUGCGCUGCCGUCCUCAUCGCCAGCUGCGCCGGCGGUGGACAACCUGCGCCUUCAGCGCGCGGCAGCUCUGGCCAGUCAGCUUUUCCCUAUCAUGAAGGGUCAGAGCAGCGCGUCCAAGGGGCUUCACGAUGCCGACAACACUCACCGUUGCGUCCUUUGUCGCCUUUCGGCGUUUGAGGAGACACUGACGGCGUGCUGCCGUUUUUGCGUGUGCCGCAGCUGCUACGCGUCCGCGUCAGAGAUGGUGAUGAAUGAGGAUCAGUGCCCUGUGUGUGGCAUCAUAGCGUCUUCCGCGUCGCGGGCUGGUACGGCUGCCACGACAGAUCUCCACGGCGAAAGCCUCGCGAACGCCGGUGGCGACUCCACCGCAUACAGGAAGCGUGAGCGGGCUGCCAAACCUGAGGACCGACGCUUGUGGAAGCGCGAGGAGGGUGAGCCAAACAUGCCGCUGCAGCGAACGACGAGCGUGCAAGGUGCCGCGGCCGCGAACAGCGGCAGCGUUCACGGCGAUGGUCGGGCCGAAACCGAUGUCUUGGCACGGCCUUGCGACGCAGCUGCUAGUGCUCCUUCGUCUACGAAGGCUUCUGGGUCUGGUCGCGCGACAGUGCCAGACGUGGCUGGGUCACGCACCGGCAGCGGCGGGGAUGCCGGCGAUGCGGCUGCUGCUACGCCCUUCUCGAAGGACGUGCUGCGGACGGAGGAGCGCCUUCGCAGCGACCUGGAUCAGGCGCUAUCCAUGCUGGAUGCUCCCGACCCGCUCUCAGCGGCAGCGAAGGCGAAGCGCAUCAUCGGUGCCGAACUGGCCGCCUUAUGCGAGUGAACGGAUCUGCUGUUGCACAUGUCGUGCGGUGCCAAGCUUUCACAAUUGUGCGUGCGAGUGCGUGUGGCGGCAAUGACAUGUGAUAGUGGCGCCAACGUCAAGGGCACCGGGGUAGCAUGUGCCCCAGAAGACCUGCUGGAUCGAGAGGCCGUGGUGCGCCAAUCGGCCACCUGGGUCCUGUUGACGAGCACGCAAAAAGAGCAGUGAGGUGGUAUGGUACCCUUCCAGGUGUAGCUGCGUGUCGAUGUGGAUGCGAGGAUGCCACUGGCACUGCACGCCGUGCGCAAGGCUGCAGCAAGUG
rnacentral:misc_RNA from 1 species